AGCAAAGACGACCAGCCGAGGAUGGCUGGCGGAGGCGUGGGGCAGGCCGCAGGACCCUCGAAGGAUCGUGUGAGACCCCGGGCAGCCUCUUGGGAGGCCAUUUCGAGGAGAAAACCUUGAUUUCUGCCUCAGGACCCUGGGCCUCAGUUUUCCUAUCUGAGAAGAAGGGCGAAGAGCUGUGCCCCCGACCACACCCGUCGGUGAUGGGGCAAACCGAGGGCAAGCAGGUUUGGUUCCUGCCCAGCAAAGGUGAGGGAGGACGGAGGAGACUCUCCCACCGCAUUCAGAACUUUAUUCCUUUAUUUUUGUCUCAAUCUUGUCAUAGAGGAGCGCUUCACUUUUGGUCAUCCCUUGGGCCACCAGGGCCUUCCCGUCUCCGUCUUCCCAUCGCAGGUCCUGGCCUCCUUCACACCACUCC
rnacentral:lncRNA from 1 species